ACACUUUACUCAAAAGUUGCAUGUACCAUAGUAAAUGUAAGCUGCUACCACUCUGCCACUCGGAAUGCCAGAACAGUCAUAAAAAAUGGUUUUCUUUAUAGGUUCAUCGGCUGGCAAGAGUGGGUGGUAAAGAUGUAAAAGACUGCACACACAAAGUGCUUGACAGGCUCUUCACCAACCAACUCAUGUCCCUUUUCAACUUGAAGGGAAAAAAGAAAAGAUGGGCCUGGAAAACACAAAGGUGUUUACUGUCAUAAAAGCUGCUGUUAUGCAAUGGGAUUCUGCUGCGACGGAGGCGCAAAUCAGAUCUGCAGCCGCAGAUCACCUGAAGCAUGCCCCGGGACGAGUUGGAGGAGGAGGUUACAAUUAGGUUUUUUUAGCAAGGGAAUUUUUACUCAUUUCUAAUUUUAAAUACUUUUAUAUAUUUAUAGUUUUGUUAGUUUCGUUUUGUUCAUUGUUCACUGUUGUAAAAAGUUUUUUAAAUGUGUUCGUGGCUUUUCAUCAAAGUCCUUGAAUAAAAUUCGAUAGUGUGAAUCUUAAAUCAGCAAAUUACCUGUCAUCAUUACAUCUAUCCCCAGCAGUGUUACAGCUCACCCCAGUGGGGAGGUUGUAACUAUGGAAUUCCUUGUAUUAGACGUUCACUUCGAUAAUUAAUGAAGUCCAAUAGUUUUAUGUGUUGUAGACAAAUAUGGAUACUGUGUGUCAACAACUGUUUAGUCAUUGAUGAUCAAACAGAAAGUGAUACUAUAUCAUAUCAUAUAAGAAUGAAUGCUCACUCACUCACUGUCACACACAGAUCCAAGUUGUCUAUUUCUGCUCAAACAUGCAUUCUUCACUUUUUAUGUUUGUGUCAAUUUGAGGACAGUGGAACUUUAUACUAAUUAUCUUUAACGUUUAUCCAUUUUUUAAUAUCUGAUUAGCAACUCUGGUCAUCACUCAUCUAAUCA